CACGUAGGGUGCGAGCGUUGUCCGGAAUUAUUGGGCGUAAAGAGCUUGUAGGCGGUCUGUCGCGUCUGCUGUGAAAAUCCGGGGCUCAACCCCGGACUUGCAGUGGGUACGGGCAGACUAGAGUGUGGUAGAGGAGACUGGAAUUCCUGGUGUAGCGGUGAAAUGCGCAGAUAUCAGGAGGAACACCGAUGGCGAAGGCAGGUCUCUGGGCCACUACUGACGCUGAGAAGCGAAAGCAUGGGGAGCGAACAGG
rnacentral:rRNA from 1 species